UUUCAACAGAAUCUCUAGAAAUUUUAAAGGUUCUUGCUUCCUUGAAAAUAUUAGAGAAGAAUCACAAAAAGCGGGAGGAUUAGCUUUCUUGCAACAAAAACUUCUUUCAGAAGUAUUGAAGGAUGUAAAUGUGAUUCCACAUAUUGACCUCAACUUUAGAAGGCUUAGCCGCAGGAAGGUUCUGAUUGUUUUAGAUGAUGUGACUUGUUUCAACCAAAUAGAAUCCUUAGUUGGAAGUCUUGAUCGGUUACUGCCUGAGAGUCGAAUCUUAAUUACCACAAGAAAUAAACAAGUGAUUAGAAAUUGUCAUGUCAACCAAAUAUAUGAGAUGAAGGGUUUUGGAGAUGAUCAUGCACUUGAGCUUUUUAAUAGACAUGCCUUCAGACAAAACCUUGUGGAUGUAGAUUAUAAGGAACUGUCAGACAAGGUUAUAAACUACGCUCAAGGUGUUCCUUUAGCUCUUAAAAUUUUGGGUUGCUAUCUAUUUGAAAGGAAAAGGGAAGUAUGGGAAAAUGCAAUAAAAAAAUUGAAAAAUUUUCUCCAUCAAAAUAUCCUAGAUGUGCUAAAAAUAAGUUACGAUGGCUUGGAUAAUGAUGAGAAAAACAUUUUCCUAGAUGUUGCCUGUUUCUUUAAAGGUGAGGAUGUAUAUCUAGCAAAGAAAUUCCUUGAGGCAAGUGGCUUCUACCCAGAAAUAGGAAUAAGUAUUCUUGUUGAUAAGUCUCUCAUUGCUAUUAAUCCAUACAACAAGAUAACAAUGCAUGAUUUGCUGCAAGAAUUGGGUAGGGAAAUUGUUCGGCAAGAAUCAACAAAUCCUGGAAACCGUACUCGAUUGUGGCAUCAUGAGGAUAUCUAUGAAGUUCUUGCAUAUAAUAGGGUAAGCAUUUUUUUUUUUUUGGGAUUGUUAUUUUUUAAUAUUCUUGCAUUAGUUACAAACUUGAAAGGCAUAUAAUUAUAUACAUAAGGAAAAAGCUCUUUUCACUCCUCCAAAAUUUGAUGUAAUAACUCAUUUCAUUCUUUUUAAAAAAAAAACAAUAUCGCCAAACACCCUUCGGAUUAAUUUACUAUUAGUUUAUUGCCAUUUGAAUAUAAUUCAUUGAGGGUAAAAUAAGAUUGUCAAUUAAAUUGAUGCUUCCAAAUUUAUUUUGACAUUUUCUUUCUCUCCUUAAAAUUUAUUUAUUUAUUUUGACCUUUGCCACCACUCUUUUUUUACCAUUAUUUUUCCCCCAUGUCGGCUCACAGGAUAAUUAAAGAGUGUAUUUGUACAAAUAUGAAUAUUGUGUCUGUUUUUGGUACUUAUCUAGGGUUAACAAAGCUUGAGAAGUUACUACCCCACGGUGCUAAAACAAAGAGUGAGGGCACCAAAAUAGAAUUAAAAAUAUGUAUACAUAUUAUACAUAUUGACAUGUAAAUUAUGUAUACAAACGAUAAUGCACAAUUUGACAUGGUAUCUAUAAUAUAUUGUUAUAUCCCAAUCUAAUCACAAUCGUUAGUUAGUUUAUUUGUUUUUAAUACAAUGAGAAAAAAACACCCUUUUCACCCUUAAGAGUUUGAUGUAAUAUCUCAUUUCAUCUCAGUUUUUUAAACAAUAAUACACUUCCAUUAAUUUAUCGUUCGUGUACUACUAUUUAUAAUUCAUUGAAGGUAACAUAGGAUUUUCAAUUAAAGAGAAAGAUUUAAAAAAAUAAAAGUUGACGCCUAAGUGAAAAGGAAUUUUAUCCUAUCUCGAAAAAUAUGAAAAUUUUGUAUCUCUUUAACUGAAAAUUCUAUUUUGCCCUUAAUGAAUUAUAAACAAUAGUAAAGUAACGAUAAUUUAAUGGAAGGGUGUUUUGGGCUUUUGCUUAAAAGAACUGAGAUAAAAUGAACUAUUACUUCAAACUCUAAGGGUGAGAAGGGUAUUUUCCCAUUGUAUUAAAAAAAAAAAAAAAACUAAGGAUUGUGAUUAGAUUGUGAUGUAGCAAUAUAUUAUAAAUACCAAGUCAAAUUGUAUAUUAUCGUUCAUAUACAUAAUUUAUAUGUCAAUAUGUAUACAUACUUUUUAAAGAUAGAAUUACUUGUACUGAUAUGUUUCUUAUUAAGUUUGCUAUUAUAAGUUUUACUAAAAAGCAAUAGCUAUAUAAUUUGAUAUAACUUUAUGGUUUUUUUUAUAGGUUACAAUUGAACACAUAACUUAAACUUUUCACAUUAUUCAUCAACUUUGUUCUUCUCUAAACACUGAAUUUCCUCACCUUUCAAUAGCCUUUCAUUAUUAUUAUUAUUAUUAUUGCAUCAUUAUAUAAUCUCUUCACUUUUUAGAUCCUUUAAUUAGUUACACUUAAAACUUUUCAGAAAUUAAAGUUUUUAGAAAUUAAAGUUAAAUGAUAUUGUCAUAUUUGCAUGGCACCCUGUAAUAAGAACCUGUGGGAGCUACUCUUGAUUCAGCGACCAAUCCAUCGGACUCACUAACCAAUCAAACUAGCUUGAUGAGCAGGGUCUAUUUAAAUUAAUUAGCCUCUUAGUCUUUUUUUUUUUUUCUUUUUUGAGUUUACCCCAUAGUUCAAUACAAAUCUUAGUAUUAUUUCUAACCGAAAGUGAAAAUAGAUCCACUUACCAGAAAUCAUACAUAGAUUAUUGUUAAUGAUUGUGGCAGUACAUAUUAUAAAUGCCACUUCAACUUGUAUGUAAAAGUUUGUAUCCUACAUAUCUUUCUUUGUGCAUUUAUAAUAACAAGUUGGACAGCCUAACAAUACCCAUCAACUGAAUUAUAUAUUAUUUGGUUUUAACUUUGUGGAUUUUUUUUUUAAAAUAUUAGGGAACUGAAGCAAUUGAAGGCAUGUGCUUGGAUAUGUCUAAAGUAAAAGAGAUCCAUCUAAAUUCCGACACUUUCACUAAGAUGCGUAAAUUGAGAUUUUUGAAAUUCUAUAGCUCAAUUCAUAAGGGAGAGAACAAAUGUAAGGUGUCUAAUUUUCAAAGCCCUGUAUUUGCUGAAAUAAGGUAUCUUCAUUGGCAUGGAUACCCGUUGAAAUCUUUGCCUUCAAAUAUUGACCCAGAAAAACUUGUUUUACUUGAAAUGCCUCGUAGCAAUAUUGAAGAACUUUGGAGUGGUAACCAGGUAUGUAUAUAUAGAUAUUAAAUGUGCAAUGUUUUGGUAACAAUGUUUAAUUAUAUAUCACAAAUGCUAAUAAUUAAUGAUUCGGUCCCCCCCAAAGCUUAAUUUAGUUGAAUGGAAAUUAAAUAUUUAAAUGGUAAAGUGUUUGGCUAUUACUUUUUUUUUUUUGGGGUCCCCCCCAAAGCUUAAUUUAGUUGAAUGGAAAUUAAAUAUUUAAAUGGUAAAGUGUUUGGCUAUUACUUUUUUUUUUUUGGGGUCCCCCCCAAAGCUUAAUUUAGUUGAAUGGAAAUUAAAUAUUUAAAUGGUAAAGUGUUUGGCUAUUACUUUUUUUUUUUUGGGGUCCCCCCCAAAGCUUAAUUUAGUUGAAUGGAAAUUAAAUAUUUAAAUGGUAAAGUGUUUGGCUAUUACUUUUUUUUUUUUGGGGUCCCCCCCAAAGCUUAAUUUAGUUGAAUGGAAAUUAAAUAUUUAAAUGGUACCAAAAGGUAUUGAAUAUUGAUGAGGUACCAAAUUUUGAAUUUUUCUCUGCUGUACGGCCAAGGCGGAUGUACGGUACAGCAGUCCUCACUUAUAAACUUGUAUCUAGAUAAAAACAAUUUUGAGAGAAUACCAGAAAGCAUUAUACAACUUUCUACGUUGUUAUAUUUCCGCUUGAGUCAUUGUGAGAGGCUUCAAUCCUUACCAGAGCUUCCUUGCUCUCUGCUUGAGUUGGAUGCACAUCAUUGCACGGCACUGGAAUCAUUAUCAGGUUUAUUCUUAAGGGAUGAACCUUAUCGUCCGUGUAUUGACCUGAGCGAUAAUUAUAAAAUGGAUCAGAAUGUGACCAGAGGAAUUCUCCAAGAUGCUCUACAAAAGUUUAAGCAUAUGGCAACUGAACGUUGGAAACGAGUAGAGGAAAAGGUGUGUCUUUGGCUUUCUCUAGUCUCUUCUUCUUUUAAUUUAUUUAUAAAAUGUUAACUUUACCAACAAGGGCGUAGAUCAACUAGCAUGGGGUUGUUUUAGCUUAACCAAGGUUCUCGGUUCGAGACUUGGGAAUGCAGCUGCGUUAAAUACUUGUUGGAAAAGCUUUGCCGUCCUAGUGGUCCUACCCGAAUCGAAUCUGGAUUAGUCGUGACCCAAUGUGAUCUUUGGAUACCAAAUGGUUUAAUACACCGAAAAAAAAUGUUAACUUUUUUAAAAUUAAUUAAAAUUAUGAUUUUUGUGGUACAGAUACCUUUUUCAGGAUCUAAGGGUCAUGUCUUAUUACCUGGAAAUGAAAUUCCAGAGUGGUUUAGCUUUAAAAGCGAGGGAUCUUCUAUGACGUUGGAGAUGACACCAGAUUUCUUCAAUAAAAACCGAGUACUCGGCUUUGCUUUUAGCGCUAUUGUAGGAUUUGGAGACCAUCAAGAUGUCAGAGAAGAGAGGUUUAGAUUAUUCUGUGAAAUCAAAGUCAAACCCAAAGAUUGUGAUUCACAUGUCAUACAGAGACCUCUGGCAGUAAUUAGAUAUGUAGAGUCAGAUCACUUACUUUUGGGGGACGAUUUCUUCGAUGAUAAGGAAUUUUUUACUUUUUGGGAGAACAAUUGGGUUCCUGAGGCUAUCCAGUUCUAUUUUAAAGAAGAAUUUGGUUAUGAAAUUUUGGAGUAUUGCCUUGUGAAAAAAUGUGGGAUCCAUUUACUGUACGCCCCAGAUUCUUCGGAUUCAACAGAAGAAGAGGAACCAUGCCCCUAAAGACUGGUAUAUGGCAUGUGCUAGAAGACGUCCAUCGCAGCAGCUCGUACAUUUCUGUAAAUUAUUCUUCCUCUAUAUGUAAUUAUUGUUUUCCUAUAGCUUGGUUUCUUUGUUUUUCUAUAGCUUGGUUUAUUAUAUAUUUAUGUGAUGAGUUUGUAUGUCUCUCUACACUCUAGUAAUGGUUUGUUUAUGUCAUAUGUACAGCUACCAUUUGACCAAGACAAACUUUCUUGUUUGUGAGGAUAUUGAUCAUAAUUUUUGUAGCUGAAGUUAAAGUAAGAGUUAGAGAAGUUUCUUUUGAUUCUUGAUCAAAAGAAAAACGUACGAGUUUGACAGAACCAUCGUCAUCUUUCAUUGUACGUUUUCUAUGUAUUAAUUGAAUUGUUCUGACAUGAUUAUCGUUGUUUGGACACUGUUACACAUCGAUUGAAUGACUUGAACGAUUUUAUAAUGUUUAUAGAUUGUUACAAUUAGAUAACAUUCGCUACAUAAGCAAAGAAAUAAUAGGAAUUUAAAAAAAAAUACAAUAUGAAAAAUCAACUGCCAAUCUUCAUAACCUAAUUUAGGUGCUACAAUACUUGUUAUAAAUGUUUCGAUAGCAUCUUAUAUAAAAUGUUAUAAGGCACUAAAGCACUUGCAUCAUUAAAUCUAAUCAUAAUUCAACAAUUAAUAAUUCAACACUUAGCAUAUAUAACAUACAGCAACACUAUAAACCCAUAAAUAAAAGUACCACAACAUAAAUCCAACAUCCAAAAUAACAUAAAUUCAAGUUUAACACCACCACAAGUCCACAUAGGUUGUUUCAUUUUUUUCAUUUAACUUAUAUAUUUUUUAAUUUAAUAAAUAAUUGAAUAAAAAAAUAAUACGGAUCCAGAUAUUUGAUUUUCUAGAUGCACUUGUAUCUAGAUCCCAAUCCGGAUUUGUACGAAUCUUAAUUUUUAACAUCCAAUUUAUUUUUUAAUGUGCGGAUUCCAAAUUUCCUUUAUCUCAAUAUUUACGAAUUUGGUCAGAUCCAUAUAUUUUUACUAUCCCCAUACAUAGCCAUAAUUCAAGUUACGUCUAUAUGGGCCAAUGGGCUCUUUGGCACAAUUUAUGCACUCAUAAGUUUUUAUGAGUUCGAGUCUCCGUAAUGAUUAUUGGAAUUUUAUCUUCUUUCCUAUUAAAUUAAGGGAAAAAUAUUUUUUGUUAAUACAGCAGAGUAGCUAAUUUUCUAAUAUUAUAUGAGAAUAGAAAUUUAGGUCAGGCUAUACUAAAUUUAUCAAGGAUAAUUUGAUAGACUUUUGACUGAAAGUAUCAAUAAUUGCGACUCAAUUUUCCUUCCAAUAAAAUUAAGUGGGGCACAUUUCUUUCUUGCUAAUACAGUAGAAUAGAUAUUUCUCUAGCAUUAUAUAAGAGUAAAAAUUUAAGCUCUCUUAUACUAAAGUUAUCAAUGGUAGUUUUAAUAGAUUUUUUUAAUUGUAAAUAUUAAUAAAAUUCUAUUAUUGUAUUAUUGUAUAAAAAAUAAAAACAACAAAGUCACUUUUGCAUCAACUUCGAAGAGAAGUUAAGACUUUUGAGUUUUGACCCGAACAGAACCAAAGAGACCAUUUUUUUUAAUUAAAAUCUGAAAAUAUUAUUGAAGACUACCUAUGAGAUGGUGUAUUCUAUAAAUAAUUAAAUAUAGUUUAAUUGUAAUUUUUAAUUUUUUAAUGGGUUAAUUUCAGCCUACCCACUUCGUGAAGUGACAAUCUUUAAAUCGCCCCCCUUACUAUUGAAAACAUUAAGUUACCCCCUAAAAUUCGUUAUCUUUAACCAUUGACCGCCGUUGACUCAUAAAAGUACGACAACACCCGUACCUUAACAGAAUAUUCUUGUAACGGUAUUGUGAGAAUAAAAAAAAAUGUUUAUGUGUGACUAGUCAUUGGAAAAUGAAAAAAAUUAGUUUAUGUAUGACUAGUCAUUGAAAAAUAAAUUAAAAAAUAAAGUGUUAGAAAUGACUUAAUGGGUCUAAAUAAAUUGAUAAUUUUCCUAAAUUAGACAUGUUAGUUAAAUAAGUUACAAGACAUGCCAUCAUAUAUAAAUUACGAUAAUGCCAUUUUCGUCUUUUUCUUUCAUUUCUCUUCAUCUUUUCUUUCAUUUUUUUUCUCAUCCUUACUCCUUUGUCUUUUCCUUUCAUUUGUUUUUUCCUCAUCCUUACUCCUUCUUCAUCUUUUUCUUCAUUUUUUUUCUUUUCUUCCAUGUACAUGACUCCAGUAACUUUUUUUCUUUCCUUUCAUUUUUUUCAUCCUUACUCCUUCUUCUUUUCGUUUCAUUUUUUUUUUCUCAUCCUUACUUUUUCUUCGUCUUUUUAUUCAUUUUUUUUCUUUCAUGUAUAUGACUCCAUUAGCAUUUCUUUUUUCUUUCCUUUCAUUUUUCUCAUCCUUACUCCUUUCAUUUGUUUGGUGAAACUCCAGUAGCAUAUUUCUUUUGUUAUUUGAUUUUCCUUUUUUUAUAUCUAUAUUUUCUGUAAGUACCUUUACAAAAUGAAAAAAGAAUAAUAAUGAUAAUAAUAAAGAGACAGACUUCUAAACUACACAAAUAUUACAAUAAUAAUGAUAUUUGGGAUUACUUAAUUUUAGAUUAUAAAUAUUCUUUAAUCUUGAACUAACCAUAUUAAUAAUAAAAGAAUGAAUUUAUUUUAUUAUUGUUUAUUAUGGUCAGUUUGAUGAAUAAACAAAAGAUUUGAAGAGUUCUAGGUUGUGUGCAAUGACAGUGAUUUUGGUGAGAAGGGUUUUGAAGUUCGCCCCCCUUACUAUUGAAAACAUUAAGUUACCCCCUAAAAUUCGUUAUCUUUAACCAUUGACCGCCGUUGACUCAUAAAAGUACGACAACACCCGUACCUUAACAGAAUAUUCUUGUAACGGUAUUGUGAGAAUAAAAAAAAAUGUUUAUGUGUGACUAGUCAUUGGAAAAUGAAAAAAAUUAGUUUAUGUAUGACUAGUCAUUGAAAAAUAAAUUAAAAAAUAAAGUGUUAGAAAUGACUUAAUGGGUCUAAAUAAAUUGAUAAUUUUCCUAAAUUAGACAUGUUAGUUAAAUAAGUUACAAGACAUGCCAUCAUAUAUAAAUUACGAUAAUGCCAUUUUCGUCUUUUUCUUUCAUUUCUCUUCAUCUUUUCUUUCAUUUUUUUUCUCAUCCUUACUCCUUUGUCUUUUCCUUUCAUUUGUUUUUUCCUCAUCCUUACUCCUUCUUCAUCUUUUUCUUCAUUUUUUUUCUUUUCUUCCAUGUACAUGACUCCAGUAACUUUUUUUCUUUCCUUUCAUUUUUUUCAUCCUUACUCCUUCUUCUUUUCGUUUCAUUUUUUUUUUCUCAUCCUUACUUUUUCUUCGUCUUUUUAUUCAUUUUUUUUCUUUCAUGUAUAUGACUCCAUUAGCAUUUCUUUUUUCUUUCCUUUCAUUUUUCUCAUCCUUACUCCUUUCAUUUGUUUGGUGAAACUCCAGUAGCAUAUUUCUUUUGUUAUUUGAUUUUCCUUUUUUUAUAUCUAUAUUUUCUGUAAGUACCUUUACAAAAUGAAAAAAGAAUAAUAAUGAUAAUAAUAAAGAGACAGACUUCUAAACUACACAAAUAUUACAAUAAUAAUGAUAUUUGGGAUUACUUAAUUUUAGAUUAUAAAUAUUCUUUAAUCUUGAACUAACCAUAUUAAUAAUAAAAGAAUGAAUUUAUUUUAUUAUUGUUUAUUAUGGUCAGUUUGAUGAAUAAACAAAAGAUUUGAAGAGUUCUAGGUUGUGUGCAAUGACAGUGAUUUUGGUGAGAAGGGUUUUGAAGUUUUAGAUUAAGUUUGUGGUUGCAUUUUUCUUUUGUUCUUUGAUUUUUUUUUAUCCAUAUAUUUUUUUAAAUACCAUUGCAAAAGGAAAAAGAAUAAUAAUGAUUAUAAUAAUAAAUAUAAAAAUGUAAAAUGUUAUUCUUUUUCAUUUAUAACUUUAAUUAAUUUCUUUAUUUAUUUUUAAAAUAAAAAUUUUAAAUACAAAAAAUUAAAAUUUAAUCAGUUCGAACAAAUUUGACAUAUAGGUACGAAAUGAAAAUAUUUUAAAAUAUUCGGGACGCAUAUCAUAAAUAUUUAAAAUAUUUAUGUGUGUUUUGAAAAACUUAGAAAGAUUUGAGCCCAUAAAAAUUAACCCAUAUAAAGAUUUGACUUUUUUCCAUUUUUUUACUGUUAGAGGAAUGCACAAAUACCGUUUUACCCUUUUAGCCGUUAAAAAUAACAUACAAAUAAUGAUUUUUGAGGGGUAGGUUAAUGUUUUCAAUAGUAAGGGGGGCGAUUUGAAGAUUGUCAUUUUGCGAGGGGGUAUGGUGAAGUUUAUCCUUUUUUUAAUUAAAGAUAGCAAAUUUCAGAAAGUGAGCACUUUAUAAAUCUAAUUUAAAAUCAAAAUAAACCAAUAUCAAGCCUUAAUCAUAAAACUAUACAAUUCAGUUAAAAUGGUAAGGUGGUAUAAUUAAAGAGUAAAAUCCAAAAAAAGAAAAAAGAAAGAAUUUGUCUGAUCAUUAUUUGAACUAAAAUGAUCUACGCAAUUACUUUCGAAAAAAAAAAUGAUCUGCAUAAUUAUUUAACAAAGAUUAGAAGUGGGGUGGUCUUUUACUUUUGCCCCUUAGGAGGGGACAGUCAUUUAUCUUUCUUUCCAGCCGUCCUCCAUUAUUUGUUUUGUGGCUGGAAUUAGACUCGGGCAAGUUAACAAAACUGACCAAUCAAAUUAUUGCAUUGCUCACGGAAAAUGAAAAUAAGAGGAUAGGAUCCUCCGCUGAAAGCAUCUAAGUAGUAAGAUUUAAUUUUUCUAAGUUAUAAUGUACAAAUAAGAUUUAAUUAAUUAUUAAUUAAUUAUUAAUUAAUACUUGAGUUAUUAUACAUCAUAUUAGAAAAAAAUUUUAUUUAAAAAAUAAGAUAAAAUUAUUACAAAUUUAUUUAUUAGAAGCUUCUAGAGUGAUGAACAUUUACUUUCAAAUAUGACGGAACAAUAGUUCGAGUCCUUAUAUUAUAAUAUAAAAACUUAAUUUCUCUUUUAAUUGAAAAAUAAUUAAAUAAAAAUAUUUUUUUUAAAUAUAAGCAAAAUAGAUAUCAUUUGAAUAUUAAAAAAUAAUAUUUUUUUAAUAAAAUAUAAGUACGAAUAAACAUCCUUGAACGCUAGUGAGGCUUAGUUAUCUAUUAUGACAUCACGGUUUAAAAAAAAUUAAAAAGAACUAGCUUCAUCUAUAAUUCGAUAUACUGUUCAGUCUCGCGUUCAAUUAUUUUCAUUUUCAUCCGAUCAAAAUCUUUCAUCAAUUAGACUGUACUGAGUCUGUGCAUGAUGGCUUCUUCUUCCUCCUCUUCUAAUCCUCGAAACAACAAGCAUGAUGUUUUUCUUAGUUUCAGUGGAGAAGACACCCGCGACAACUUUACUAGCCAUCUUUAUUCAGCCUUGUGUCAGAAAGGUGUUGAAACUUUCAUUGAUGACCAACUCAACCGGGGAGAUGAAAUUUCACAGUCUCUUCUUGAUACAAUUGAAGCAUCAAGCAUUUCAAUUAUCAUUUUCUCAGAAAAGUAUGCUUCUUCGGGAUGGUGUCUCGAUGAACUUUCAAAGGUCCUCGAUUGCAGGAAAGUAUAUGCACAGAUUGUGAUACCAGUUUUCUAUCGGGUCGAUCCAUCACAUGUGAGAAAGCAAAUUGGGAGUUUUGGGGUUUCAUUUUCGAAGCUUAAAGAAAAAUUUCCAGAGAAGAUGCAAAGAUGGAGGAGUGCUUUGACGGAAGCAGCCAAUCUCUCUGGCUUUGAUUCUUUUGUCAUCAGGUAACAGUAACAGUCAAUUUGCUACCAAUUUUAUAAUUAUUUUAUUAGGGUACUCAUCAAUAUAAAAAAUUAUAGUAUCAAAUAUUAAAUCAUUUCGUGAAGACGAUUAGAUUGCAUAAUAUCUUACACAAUUUUUAUAAUUGUUUUAUUUACUCAAGUUCUAAUACGGUUAUAUGACUUGUUUCAAAGCAAAAAAAUCUGCAUCAAAUUAACAAUUGGAACUAAUAAAAAAACUCUGUUUUUGUCUCUUUUUGAACUUAAUGCUAUAUUUUUUUAUUUGCUAGGAAUGAAUCUGAACUUAUAAAGAAAGUUGUUAAUGACAUUUUGGAGAAACUGCCCAAAGUGGUCCCAUGUGAUAGCAAAAACGAGCUGGUCGGAGUAGAAUCAAGAGUUGAGGAAAUUGAGUCUCUGUUGGGUGCUGCACCUCUAUUAGGGAUUUGGGGCAUUGGUGGUAUAGGCAAGACAACAAUUGCUAGGGUGAUUUUCAACAGAAUCUCUAGAAAUUUUGAAGGUUCUUGCUUCCUUGAAAAUGUUAGAGAAGAAUCACAAAAGCCGGGAGGAUUAGCUUCCUUGCAACAAAAACUUCUUUCAGAAGUAUUGAAGGAUGUAAAUGUGAUUCCACAUACUGACCUCAACUUUAGAAGGCUUAGCUGCAGGAAGGUUCUGAUUGUUUUAGAUGAUGUGACUUGUUUAAACCAAAUCGAAUCCUUAGUUGGAAGUCUUGAUCGGUUACUGCCUGAGAGUCGAAUCUUAAUUACCACAAGAAAUAAACAAGUGCU
rnacentral:lncRNA from 1 species